rnacentral:lncRNA from 1 species
AUUCAGUGACAUUAGCAGAUUUCCCCCAGAUAGAAUGUAAGCUUCUUGGGGGGGGGGGGUAUAUUUUGUUUCUUUCUGUAUUUCUAGAAUUGAAUUCACAGUUUGUGGCAUAGAUUGGGUACUUAAUGCUAAUAUCCUGUAAGGGAUAAAGGAUAGGGGGAAAUGCACAGAUUGUCUUUAAGAGGAAAGGAGAAUUUAGACACAACCCCUGGGAGAAGAUUCUGGAAGGAGAGGAGAAUCUUGGGAGUUUACUGGAUUUAAUGUCUCUCCUGAUCUGGUUUUCUUCUGAGCUGAAGAGGAACUCUUAUAGAUGGGGUCUCUGAAUCCCGGAGAGAUGAACUUAUUUUCGCAAAGACACAAGGAACAAUUUGGGUUCAGCCACAAGAAAACCCUCAUUUUCGUCUUUCUUCAUUAUCGUCAAGCUUUGACUCCCCACCCAAGA